AUGUUAUUUUUCAGAAAAACAGACUCUGCACUUGAAAACCAACAGCUGAGUAAUCAAUCAAAGAUGGGGAACGUACCAUCAGAAAGUCACAUGGGUAACAGCCUGCGAUGUCAUAUAUGUCAGAAAGUCCUGCCUCCAUGCCAUUCCUUCGAUAACUUACACAAAGCCACUGUUCAUGGGCGGUUUGUAUAUGUGUUCAAUGGAGGGGAAUACUACAGACCGGUUGGUUAUACUAAUAUGUAUGAGUGUGAAUACUGCUUUAACAAGCCAAUUAGGGAUCAGGAGGAGAGGAGGAGAGAGGAGGAGAGGAGGAGAGAAGAGGAGAGAAGAAGACAGGAGGAGGAGAGGAGGAGAGAAGAAGAGAGAAGAAGACAGGAGGAGGAGAGGAGGAGAGAAGAGGAGAGAAGAAGACAGGAGGAGGAGAGGAGGAGAGAAGAAGAGAGAAGACAGGAGGAGGAGAGGAGGAGAGAAGAAGAGAGAAGAAGACAGGAGGAGGAGAGGAGGAGAGAAGAGGAGAGAAGACAGGAAGAAUUGAAUCAAAGACUAGAAGAAUCACACAAACGAGCCAAAGAGCAGUAUGAGAAUCAGCUGGACAGCAACAUUUCAGAAGAAAAGGAGCAAAAACAAAAUGUUCUAAAAGAGCAUUUGGAUGAGUUUGAAGAUAAAUAUGAAUCAGACCGUGACGAGCUUCUAAAAAUCCUCUCUGUGAAAUGCAGCAUCCCAGUUGAAAAUCUCAGUCUUACUCAGCUAACAGCUGAUCAGCUGGGGCAGGUCCUGUCAGUCCUGGACAAACUUCUCUUUGAUGAAUGGAUCAGUGAUCCUCCAUCUCUCAGCACUCUGCAGCACAGUCAAGUGUUCAUCACAGAGCUGUGUGCCCUGUCUCUGGAGAUAUCUGAGGGAGUCUCCCUCCAAACGGUCUCCAAUCAUGUGCAGUCUUUGGUGGUGUCCAUCAGCCAAUCAGCAUCUGAUGCUUUUGAGAGUUUCUUGCUGACUCAAGCUCUGUAUCUGAACCUGAUGCACUUUUUCACUGACCAUGGUGACUCUGAUAACGACGCAGUCCUCAUUGCCAAACACUGGGCUGAAGAAGAACUUUCCACAGAGAACCUCUUUCUUAUUGACUUCCUGGGCACCCUCACAUCAUCACUGCAGAAAGCAGUGGGAACAGCUUCUGUGUUCAUUUUAAAGAUGGAAAUCCAGUGUUUGAAGCUUCUCUUACACACACUCACACAUCUGAAUGGAAAAGAAGCCCACUCAGAAUCCACUGAAAUGCUCCUCAGACUUGUACAAACAAACCAAUGGACCCCACCAGAGGCACUGACUCUGCUUAAAGCAUUGUCACUGAAAAAUGUUUCAAUGAUGAAAGCCAUUACACUGGUACAAGUGUAUGCCAUAUCACCAGAGUGGACAGAUGAGUCUGGACACUCUUUAGUCCAGACUAUUGACAUUGCUGACCCUGAGACAUUCCAUCAGGAUUUCCAAAAGACUCUCAGGAGGAAAGAUGAGAGCAGCCUGGAUGAAGCUCUACAAGAGGUAAAACUGGUUUGGAGUUUGGAUGAUUCUCAGAGUGAUAUGAUAAAAGAUGUGACCAGUGGUGUCCUACAAUAUUCUGAAAAUAUACCAAAAGAUGCAGCAUUUAUGAAAGACUCAUUUAAAAGUGUAACCCUGAGUGCAGACCACAUGAAGAACUCUCUGUGUCAACUCUGCAAAGCAGUUUUUGAAUCAAAAGGCUGGUGGCCUACAGUGAGGCACAUGCUGCGUUGGUGUGCACUGGUGCUGACUGAAAAGAGUGAAGUUCUACAGCUGGUUGGUAUGGAAGAAGACCCAUGUGUCACUGCCAUGUUUGCAGCCACACAAGUCUGCAUGGGAAACAAACUGGACAUUGUGUUGAGCUCUGAUGCUCCUUCACAGCACAAAACUAUGGAGUGGUCUGACUUCUACAAGAACCUCCACAUUUCUCUCAAAACAAACAAGAGAAAGACUGCAUCAUACAGGGACGUCUAUGAAGAAGACAUUGUGUACGGCACCAUGGAUGACUUUGUCUCUGAUUAUUUUCAACACAGUAUAGAGGUGAUGGAGACAAGGAACCCUCAGCUGAGUCGUGGUUUUAUCAUUGAAGAACAAUGUGUCAAUGCUUCCUAUGAUCUGAAACUCUCCCGGCUCAAAGAAAAUCAUUUCCUGGUGCCUGCUGCAGAGGUCCUGAAAAGGCUCAUGGGUAAAUUUCAUGGUGAAGAUACAGAGCAGAGACGCAGAUUCAUUAAGGCUCUUUUCCAGGUGUUGCACACAAUCCAAAGCAAAGACACAACCACAGACGCUAAAUUUAUCACUAUCUCAAAGAAAAUUACUGGAAAGGGAUUUUCUCCUAAUGAGGCCUUCAUUCUGACCUUUCUUGAGAAUCUACUGAGAGUGGUUACUGACAAAACAGACGCUGAGAAUAACAGAACAUCUCUUGCAGCCAAAUGGUGUUCUGAGAUUUUAUUUGACUGUGCUGAGCAUGUCCAGGCUUCAGACAUACAGACCCAAGAACUCUUCCAGAUGGUUUCAAGCCUGGUAGAACAAAAUCUUUGGUCACCAGUAGAGGCUUUAAACCUCCUGGAAGCUUUGACAGACCACCAUCAUGAUGAAGGCUGUAUUUCCAUCAGGAAGAUUUUACAUUUAAUGGCAACAUAUCAGGUCUCCUCCAAGUGGACAGAUGAGAGCAACAAAACCCUCCUUACACUCUUAGAUUCAAACAAAACUGAGAAUCUCAUUAAGCAUUUAAAAAAGGCUCUGAGAGAUGAGGAAACAAAGAGCAUCGACACUCUAAUGGAUGAAAUACGACAGAUGAAAGACAUUGAUGAACCAACACUCAGUAAAUCACACAGUGUAGUAACUCAUGUAGCAAACCUGAUCAAAACAGGUGAAAUUAAAACACACACAAACAUACAGCAGGCAAGGAAUAUGAGUCACAGUAAGGACACAAAAGACCUUCAGGAGGUGCUGGCAGUCUUAUGCAAUGCUGUAAACCUGCACAAUGCUGGAGGGAAGUGGUGGCCAAGACAUAAUCAGAUGAUAAGCUGGUGCCUCUUGGCCUUGUCUGACACUGGGAAGCUCCUGGAAAUGGGGACUGGAGAAGGGAAGUCUUGUGUCAUCGCAAUGUUUGCAGUGCUGCGUGUUCUUCAGGGUGAAAAAGUAGAUGUGGUGUCCAGCUCGUCUGUGUUGUGCCAGAGGGAUGCAGAAGAAUGGGCAGAGUUCUACAAGUACUUUGGCAUUACAGUUGACACAAACACAAACAAAAACCAGGACGAAGAUCGCAAAAAAUGUUACCAGAAGGACGUGGUCUAUGGAACCAUUGAAGCCUUUGCUGCAGAUCACCUUCGCCAGAUAUUUGAAAUGAAGGAUGUGAGGCCUGAUCGCAAGUAUCAAUGCAUCAUAAUCGAUGAAGUGGACUCACUGCUGCUGGACCAGGGCGUGCAACUGACAUACCUGUCAAGCCCCAUGGUCUCCAUGCAGCACCUAAACACGAUUCUGGCCAUGAUCUGGGGCCACGUCAGCCAAUAUGGCUUCCUUUCUGCAGGAAACAAGACUUUUGUGCAGAGCCCCCCGGCUUCAUUCUUCAAGGCUAUCUUUGACUCCAUGAACACAGAAGAAACUGAAAUUGAUGAUCCAAUGGACAUUUUACAGAUCGCUGAAGAAACCAACAUUGUGCCAAAAGGAUUUACAGAGGAUAUUCACAAAAGUGAAAAGGAUGAACUUUUUAAGAAACUGAAAACUGUGAGUCAGGAUGAUAUGAUCGCGUUUUUCAAAGAAAUUGAAGACUAUGUCCCCUAUGGUUUUACCAUUUACACUUUAGACGACAAGGGAUUGCUCUCUCUUCAAAAACGCAGCCCAUAUGAUACCCGAGACAUUCCAGAACUCACAUUUCUUGUCUUGGAAGACGGCUUGUGUUGUACUCUCUAUGAUUCAGAAGAAACUCUCAUCAAGCCCAUUGCAGAGUUAAUCUCAGAGAAGAUUCAGUUCACUCCAUGUACAAAUGACAAGGAAAAAAUCAGUAUUCCUGGAUUCUUGAAGAUUCUGAUUGAGAAGAAGCUGCCAGUAUGGGUCCAGAAUGCUUUUCUGGCAAUGCUGCUGAAACAAGGACGGGAAUAUGUAGUGGAAAACGACAAUGUCUGUCCAGUGGAUUUCAGAUCCACAGGUAUUGUAGAGCUGAACAAGAAAUGGGGUGAUGGUCUGCAACAGUUUGUUGAGAUUAAACACCAAAUCAAACUGAGCACCAUUUCAACAGUGACUAACUACAUUUCCAAUGUUUCCUUUUUUGAAAAGUACCAUGGAAAGAUAUAUGGAACAACAGGAACACUUGGGAGCAAAUCAGACAUUGAGUUUUUGCAGGGCUUAUAUCCUAAUCUGUCUGCCUGCAAAAUGCCAACAUUCAACAGGAAGAAGCUCUAUGAGGUGAAAGGUACUCUGACAAACUGUGCUGAGGAGUGGAAAUCAGAAAUAAAACGUGUAGUUAUGGCUCAGAUCUCCCCAAAUUCAUACAGAGAAGGGAGGGCAGCCUUGGUGAUCUGUGAAACUAUCAACAAAGCCAAAGAGAUCCAUGAGGAGCUGAAAAGCUGUGUUCCUGGUGAAACCAUUCUCUACUGCCGUAGUGACAAAGAAAGUUUGAGCAAAAUAGAAAAGGAACUGCUUCCUGGUGAUGUCAUUGUUGCCACUAACCUUGCUGGGCGUGGCACAGACAUAAAAGUCUCCAAAGAAGUGAACAGUAAUGGAGGAUUAUUUGUGAUUCUCUCCUUCCUUUCUGAGAACACAAGAGUAGAACUCCAGGCCUUUGGUCGAACUGCACGCAAAGGUAAGCCUGGAUCGGCUCAGGUAAUCAUGUGCACUGAACACCUGCAGCAGUCUUUCAGAAGAGCAUCUACUCUGAAGGAAGCUAAACACACAAGAGAUGAACUGGCAGCAGAAAAAGUAAAUGAAAUGAUGAACGAUGUUGCUGAGAUGAAACUGCGAGAGGACCUGUUUGCAGAAUACUGCAAGACUCUUCAUGAUAUAUAUAAAAGGGCAGAUGGAGAUGAGAGAAGAGCUGUUGUUGCCAUCAUGAAUGAGUUCUGGGGGAUAUGGCUGCAGACUAAAUCAGAAGAAAUUGACCAGUUGAAGAGAGAUGAUUUGGAAAAGAGUUUGAAAGCUGACUUGACAUUGGCAACGAGUCAAACUCAAAGCCAGACUUCACCGUGCUCCAGCAUUUAUCACUACAUCAAGUUUGGAAAUGUCGCACUGAGUGAGAAACAAUGGGACGUCAGCACCAGGCUGUUUGAGAAAGCCAUGAAACUAGAUGAAAACUGGGCAGCUAUAGCUUUUUACAACCAUGCAUACUGUACUAUAAACCAGAGUAGUGAAAAUUAUCUCAACAAGGCCAGAGAUGAUCUACUCAAGGCACAAGAGUCUCUAAAGUAUCUCAGUGAGGAAUGCAUAGUCUGUCUGCAAUUUGCAAAAAUGUCCUCUGCAGAGUCAGCCAACAGUGACCCAACAGGCCUUGAGAAACAGUUAACAACCAAGUGCAAUAUGUUCAGUUACUUAGACAAAAACAUAAAUGAGGCUAUUCAAAAAGUGGAUGAAAUUCAGAAAAAGGGGAGAGAUGCCAUUGCUAAAAAAUCACCAAUUUUUUCCCUGGUAUCAUCUGCUGAUGAGGAUCUCCAAGUGGAAGCCUACAACCUCUACAAUCAAGGCCUGAAGUAUGUAUUCUCUGUGGAAGAGAAGCCUCGUUUCCCAUGGGAAGCUCUGUUGGUUUUCUUUCUUGGUAUUUUACAGAUUAUUGCUGGAGCACUGCUCACUGCAUUUACAUUUGGUGCAAUGGCUCAAGUUGGCAUGGGACUCAUCACUGAAGGAAUAUCAGACUGCAUCUAUGGUAUAGAGUCCAUGGUGACAGGAGAGUUCAGUUGGAAGUCAUGGGCUAUAGAUAAAGCCAUUUCCAUUGGUGUGUCUCUCAUCGGGUUUGGAAUUGGAAAACUGAUUGCAAAGGGCUUUAAAGCUGCUAAAGUGCUGAUUAAAGGAUUGGGGAAAAAGUUGAAAGCAUUGCCAAAGUUCUUCUCCAAACAAGCCAAAAACAGUUUAAGUGCCGUCACAAAGACAAAUAUGAAGAAUGCAGUCAAAUACACAACUAAAAAAGUGGCAGAAGAAGUCAUAAACUAUGGACUUGGGAAAGCAGAAGAAGAAAUAUUAAAACAAAUACUACAAGGCAUCAAAAAUGAGGUGAAAAAUGGAAUCAAUGAUAAAGUGAAAUCCAACAUGGAAAAACAGGAAUUGGCUACAUUAGUAGACUCCAUUAUACUGUCACAGCUGAGGGAUAAAGAGCAACUCCGUGAUCUCUUGGAGGAUAAGAACAGAAAGGGCAAACUGCUGUCCAUUUUCAAAAAGUUAAGUGACACUGCAAUUCAGCCAUUUUAUGCAGACCUCAGCUGGCAGAAGAAGCUGAACUCAUCAUUCACCAAAGUGAUCAACAAAGUCAAAGCAGAGGCCAAAGGGAAAGUACGUGCAAUUCUAACGGCCAUCCAAGCAGUCCACAUGGGGGUGCUGGCAGGAGAUGCCAUCGCUUCAGUGGUCAGUCUCAGUGGAGAGUUUUUCUCAAACCUUGCUGAACAGAUGAAUACAUUUAAAAAAGACAUUUCAUCAGAGAAAGUGAAGGUAAAUGAGCUGUCUGAUUCAGACAGGAAGCUACUGCAAGAAUUCAAGGAAGAACUGACCAACACCAUCAGUGCUUUGUUGGCUGAUGCUUCUGUCGAAGUUUUCCACCAGAAAUUCUCCACUCACCUUGUUUCUCAUGUUCAAAACAAAGUAAAUGGAGUCAUUGGAAAAUAUGUAAGAGACGGCUUAAAGACAGACAGAACAGAGGAAAAACUCAGAGCUGGACAGCACAACAGUUACAUCGCAUACAUGCCAGCAACCCCCAGCUCUAAACCUGCUGGAGUGGCAGUGCAGACACAUGCUGAAAAGAUUAAGAAAUCCACGACUGCAGGCACCAUUCUUGAUAUGAGAGUUCUGUCUGAAACUACAGGUGCUAAAGUUGUCAUCUUAACACAGGAUAAGCAUGGCAGACUUACCAAAAUGCAGGAGCUGAACCCAAGCAGUAAGCCUGCCAGUCAAACUGUGACACUGAUCUACAGACCAAAGAGUGCACAAUACCCUGAUGGCCACUAUGAUGUGCAAAUCAAUGACAAAAUAGUGACUGUAGACAACAAGGGCAAGAGCUGCCUGUUUCAUGCUUUGGCACGGGGCAUGAAACCAGACGCCAGUGAUGAAGAAAUCAGUUUGGAAGCAGGCCGCCUCCGAACUUUAGAGGCUGACACUCUCCUUGAACACCCAGGUCAAUGGGAGCCAUUCAUCAUGCGCAAAGAGUGGACUGAAGCAAUCAGAGGAGGGGACUGGUACAUGGAAGAGGGAGCUGGACCAAAAAGUAUCAUAAAAGAAAACAAAAAGGUCCUAAAAACAGAGGUUGGAAAAGUAAAGUUGUACAAAGAAUGGCAGAAAUACAAACAACCAUAUUCAAAUUUGGGUAAGAUCAUCAAUGCUGACCAUCAGCCACCAGUCAGUAGUAUACUGGAUGCUAGAAAACUGAACCAGAACAGCAAAUUAGCAGAAGCCAUGCUUGAAGUGGCAACCAGCUCAUCUCCUCUGGAUCCCAAUCUGAUUAAGGAUGUCCACAAAUAUCAUGGUCGUGAACUUCCAGCUGUGUAUGUGCCUAAAGAAGUACAUUAUGAGUUUUCAAGCACAAAGUCUAAAGCAUUCAGAACAUUCCUAGCUACCACCAUAAGCAAAGAUGAUGUGGUGGGCACCUUCAAACAGACCAUCCUUGGUGCAAUGGUGAGAUUUAGGUUGGAUACAACCAAGAAUUUUAAAGACUUUAAGAAUAGCCAAAAAAGUAAAACCAGGCUGGCUAUUUUUGAAAUGAGUUUUCAACAACAUAGUGUGAAGAUGGCAAACUCAUGGUUUGACCUGCUUCAGGGCAAAGGUGUCAUGACCAGUAAUGAUCUCAAUGCUAUUACUACAUGGAUCCAAAACAAGGGCUACAAUGAUCAGAACGAUCCAGACAGGAACCAGGUUGUUAACCUUCUGUGA
ensembl:lncRNA